rnacentral:rRNA from 1 species
GAUGAACGCUGGCGGCGUGCCUAAUACAUGCAAGUCGAGCGAACGGACGAGAAGCUUGCUUCUCUGAUGUUAGCGGCGGACGGGUGAGUAACACGUGGAUAACCUACCUAUAAGACUGGGAUAACUUCGGGAAACCGGAGCUAAUACCGGAUGACAUUUUGAACCGCAUGGUUCAAAAGUGAAAGACGGUCUUGCUGUCACUUAUAGAUGGAUCCGCGCUGCAUUAGCUAGUUGGUAAGGUAACGGCUUACCAAGGCAACGAUGCAUAGCCGACCUGAGAGGGUGAUCGGCCACACUGGAACUGAUACACGGUCCAGACUCCUACGGGAGGCAGCAGUAGGGAAUCUUCCGCAAUGGGCGAAAGCCUGACGGAGCAACGCCGCGUGAGUGAUGAAGGUCUUCGGAUCGUAAAACUCUGUUAUUAGGGAAGAACAUAUGUGUAAGUAACUGUGCACAUCUUGACGGUACCUAAUCAGAAAGCCACGGCUAACUACGUG